UAUACGUGGCCCUGUGGGGAGACACAUACACAAAGCUCAGACUCUGGCACACGGUAGGCCCUCAGAGGCUUGGGACACAGCACAGUGCUGCUUUAAAGAGCACAAGCUUUGGAAUCAGAUGGAUUUCCAUGCUUAAACCCUGAGCUGGUUACCUGACCAUAGCCUGUUGCUUAAUCUGAGCCUCAGUUUCCUCAUCUAUCAAAUGGGAAUAAAAGAUCACCCUGAGAGCCUGAAAUAUUUACAGUCUGUUCUGGCCCUGUACAAAGCUGAUGACUGCUGGGAUAGGGUAUCAUCACCGAACUGUUCCCUGCUAAGGGACUGAGCCAGUGCCAGAAGCGCACAGUCAAGGAAAGACAACAGCUGUACACUUUAAACCCACAGAGGUGGCACAGCUGGGACCAGUAGAGACACUCAACACGAGGGUCAUCUUCCACCAGAAGCAAAUGGCCUCCAGUUCCCUAACUGGAAAAAUGACUUCUCCCAGCAGGCCCAAGCACUUUACUCCAGUUAUCAUAUUCAAGGAACAGCCUUAUGAUGGUGACCCCACCAAAGCAUCAGAAUCGC